GUGGGGAAUUUUGGACAAUGGGCGCAAGCCUGAUCCAGCAAUGCCGCGUGCAGGAUGAAGGCCUUCGGGUUGUAAACUGCUUUUGUACGGAACGAAAAGCCCUGGGUUAAUACCCUGGGGUCAUGACGGUACCGUAAGAAUAAGCACCGGCUAACUACGUGCCAGCAGCCGCGGUAAUACGUAGGGUGCGAGCGUUAAUCGGAAUUACUGGGCGUAAAGCGUGCGCAGGCGGUUUUGUAAGACAGAGGUGAAAUCCCCGGGCUCAACCUGGGAACUGCCUUUGUGACUGCAAGGCUAGAGUACGGCAGAGGGGGAUGGAAUUCCGCGUGUAGCAGUGAAAUGCGUAGAUAUGCGGAGGAACACCGAUGGCGAAGGCAAUCCCCUGGGCCUGUACUGACGCUCAUGCACGAAAGCGUGGGGAGCAAACAGGAUUAGAUACCCUUGUAGUCC
rnacentral:rRNA from 1 species